ACGGCUCAGUAACACGUGGAUAAUCUACCCUUAGGACCGGGAUAACCUUGGGAAACUGAGGAUAAUACUGGAUAGGCAAUUAUUCCUGUAAUGGUUUUUUGUUUAAAUGUUUUUUCGCCUAAGGAUGAGUCUGCGGCCGAUUAGGUAGUUGGUUAGGUAAUGGCUUACCAAGCCGUUGAUCGGUACGGGUUGUGAGAGCAAGAGCCCGGAGAUGGAACCUGAGACAAGGUUCCAGGCCCUACGGGGUGCAGCAGGCGCGAAACCUCCGCAAUGUGAGAAAUCGCGACGGGGGGAUCCCAAGUGCCAUUCUUAACGGGAUGGCUUUUCAUUAGUGUAAAGAGCUUUUGGAAUAAGAGCUGGGCAAGACCGGUACCAGCCGCCGCGGUAACACCGGCAGCUCUAGUGGUAGCAAUUUUUAUUGGGCCUAAAGCGUCCGUAGCCGGUUUAAUAAGUCUCUGGUGAAAUCCUGUAGCUUAACUGUGGGAAUUGCUGGAGAUACUAUUAGACUUGAGACCGGGAGAGGUUAGAGGUACUCCCAGGGUAGAGGUGAAAUUCUGUAAUCCUGGGAGGACCGCCUGUUGCGAAGGCGUCUAACUGGAACGGUUCUGACGGUGAGGGACGAAAGUUAGGGGCGCGAACCGGAUUAGAUACCCGGGUAGUCCUAACUGUAAACGAUGCGGACUUGGUGUUGGGGUGGCUUUGAGCUGCUCCAGUGCCGAAGGGAAACUGUUAAGUCCGCCGCCUGGGAAGUACGGUCGCAAGACUGAAACUUAAAGGAAUUGGCGGGGAGCAC
rnacentral:rRNA from 1 species